CUUCAGUGAGGAUAAGAUGACGAGUCAGAAGGGCUGGCUCCUGCAGAGUGCUGCCUGCAGUGCCACGUUCUGUGCUGCUGCGUGUGGUCCUUUAGCAGGAGCGUCCUGUCACUGGAUGAUUUAGAGGCAUUUGUCUGAGGAGG
rfam:Callipepla squamata strain Texas jcf7180005231191, whole genome shotgun sequence.